rnacentral:rRNA from 1 species
AGCCAUGCCGCGUGAGUGAUGAAGGUCUUAGGAUUGUAAAGCUCUUUCACCGGAGAAGAUAAUGACGGUAUCCGGAGAAGAAGCCCCGGCUAACUUCGUGCC